rnacentral:rRNA from 1 species
UGCGUAGGGGGCGAGCGUUGUCCGGAUUUAUUGGGCGUAAAGAGCGUGUAGGCGGUUCGGUAAGUCUGUCGUGAAAUCCUGAGGCUCAACCUCGGACGUGCGAUGGAUACUGCCGGGCUAGAGGAUGGUAGAGGCGAGUGGAAUUCCCGGUGUAGCGGUGAAAUGCGCAGAUAUCGGGAGGAACACCAGUAGCGAAGGCGGCUCGCUGGGCCAUUCCUGACGCUGAGACGCGAAAGCUAGGGGAGCGAACAGG